rnacentral:rRNA from 1 species
UACGUAGGUAGCAAGCGUUGUUCGGAUUUACUGGGCGUAAAGGGCGCGUAGGCGGCGCGGUAAGUCACUUGUGAAAUCUCUGAGCUUAACUCAGAACGGCCAAGUGAUACUGCAGUGCUAGAGUGCAGAAGGGGCAAUCGGAAUUCUUGGUGUAGCGGUGAAAUGCGUAGAUAUCAAGAGGAACACCUGAGGUGAAGACGGGUUGCUGGGCUGACACUGACGCUGAGUGCGCGAAAGCCAGGGGAGCAAACGGG